AGAUACACCAGUGGUUCAAUGCCCUCUGAAGCCUGGUUGAGAAAGGGCAAAGCAUGAAAAGUCAGAAGAGGGAGCCAGGCCCUUUGGUCUUCCCCUGACCUUCUUCCGGAAGUCGGAGCCCAGGGCUAAACUUCGAAGCUGGGUAGUGACAGCAGCCAUCACCUUACUGUUGCCAUGGAUGAGAAGGGA